GUUUCAUUUACUCCUCUUUUUCUACCUUCAUUUCACAUAUAUACAUGAGACAAUAAUAAUACUAUAAUAUAACUAUAACCCUCUCUUUUUAUUCAUAACAACAGAGUACUUUUUUAUAGUUUCACAUUGUAUAAUUUUUAAAUAGUAGUAUCAAAUAAGCAAUGACAUGGACACGUAUACACCCAAAAUUCCUACCAAUUGAUGGGCGAGUUAUAGCAAGAGCUGACUUGGUCUGGGUAUCAUUAUGGGCCUUAAAGCCCAAAUUUAAGUCAACAUGUUUGGCCCAUAUUAACAUUGCACACUCGUCUUUGUUUUUGUUUCGGCUUUCUAAUUAAAAUAAACCGAAGUAUUGAAUCAAAAUUGAAGAAGAAGAGGUACAGAAGCAGAGGAGAGUGCAAUUUUGGAGUGAAUGGAGGAAAGUAGCAGAAGCAAUCCAUGUGUUGAAUCACGAUCCUUCACGCGGAUCUUUAUUCGAAGCCAUUUGAUAAGCUUAUGUUCGCGCUUCAAAGUCUUCAAGCUCACGAUGAGGGUAAUGUCGUCUUGCUUGAGCUUUUAACUGUCCUUCCUGAAGAGAUAUCUGAUACUUUUCUCAUCAGUCUAGUCUUCGCCAGGAGUUGCUCUUGCAUACUUCCAUGGUUCUUGAUUUCUUACUCCAGCAGUCUGAGAAGCUAUUCGUCUCCCCUCUAUACCCGCAUGACAACAACCGGAAAAUACUUCGUUGUUUACUGAGUUGCUCUACGUUUCAAGUCCGUGCUGGAUGUUUCUCCGAGAUUCCACAGGGCGCGGUCGCAUCCCCUUCUUAACUACGUCUUUAACGCUCUCCAGGGUACUACUUUUGAUCUCGCCAUUGAGGUGCUUGUUGAACUUGUGACUCGUCAUGACUUAUGAGGAUCUUCCUCAGGUUUUAUUGUACAAAGUACAGUUGCUUAAAGAUACGCUUCUAAAUGCUGAUUUUAAAGUUGUCUCUGGCUUGGCAUGCUUGAUGUCUGAGAUUGGACAGGCUACACCAUGCUUGAUUGUUAAAGCAAGCUCUGAAGCGCUUAUUCUUACUGACGCCCUUUUGAGUUGCGUGUCAUUUCCAAGUGAAGACUGGGAGAUUGCAGACUCAACUGUCAGGCUUUGCGACAUAUAUUAUUAGCCUAGAUGAGAACAGACAGAAUGACAGAAAUCGCGUGAAAGAUAUAUAUUUCUCCCAGUUUUCUCAGCUUUGGUUGAUGCUCUUGUGCUGCGCGCUCAGGUCGAUGAGUUUACCUCCAGUGAUGAGAGUUCAUGGCUAGACCUGCCUGAUGGCCUGUUGCAUUUUAGAAAUAAUCUUCUCGAGCUCUUGGUAGAUAUUUGUCAGCUACUUCAUCCAACAACAUUUGUGAGUAAGGUGAGCACUUUAUGCUGUUACUACCCAGUGUACUGGAGUGUCUAUCGAGAAAUUUUCUGUCAUUUCAAAGCCAAGAAUGUUACAUAAGAACAGCGUGGUGUAAUCGCUGACGAAAUUUGUGAAAACGAGGUAUACGGGUCCUUGUUUAUCACCACGUUUGAGAGAUUUACUCAAGCAUCAUCACUGAUGGGUAUAAAUUUGUCAUAUAUAUGCGACCAAGAACCCGAUUUGGUGGAAGCAUAUGUGAAUUUCGCAUCAGCAUUAAUCCGCGGUUGUCAUAAGGCAGUGCAGUCAUUCCUUUGCUCGUUAAAGAAUUGUUGGGUACUUGUGGAACGCUUCUUGAAAUUUCUUUCCAAAAAGCGGCUAUGCACCGAGGCGCUGCUUUAGCUGCGAUGUCGUACUUGUGAGGUACGUGUGCAGUGGUUUACUAUUCUAAAACAUGGCAUCAACUUUUGGCAUACAAGACUCUUUGGUCAUAAGCAUGAUUAGUUAUGUAAUGUUU